GACGAACGCUGGCGGCGUGCUUAACACAUGCAAGUCGAACGGAAAGGCCCUGCUUUUGUGGGGUGCUCGAGUGGCGAACGGGUGAGUAACACGUGAGUAACCUGCCCUUGACUUUGGGAUAACUUCAGGAAACUGGGGCUAAUACCGGAUAGGAGCUCCUGCUGCAUGGUGGGGGUUGGAAAGUUUCGGCGGUUGGGGAUGGACUCGCGGCUUAUCAGCUUGUUGGUGGGGUAGUGGCUUACCAAGGCUUUGACGGGUAGCCGGCCUGAGAGGGUGACCGGCCACAUUGGGACUGAGAUCCGGCCCAGACUCCUACGGGAGGCAGCAGUGGGGAAUAUUGCACAAUGGGCGGAAGCCUGAGGCAGCAACGCCGCGUGCGGGAUGACGGCCUUCGGGUGGUAAACCGCUUUCGCCUGUGACGAAGCGUGAGUGACGGGAAUGGGGAAAGAAGCACCGGCUAACUACGU
rnacentral:rRNA from 1 species